UUGGCAGCCUACAAGCCUGGUGCCAGUGAGUCUGGGAAACAGCGAGAUUCCCAAGAUAUAUAUGCCAAGCGAAUACUCUACCACUGAGUUACUCCUCAACAUUUUAGUUUUUGAGAGGAUCUCUGUAGGUUGCCAAGAUAAUCUCCCUGGUUCCAUCUCAAUCCCUUCCCUUUGCAAGGUUUGGGAUAAUGAGCAUCAUUGCUGGUAAUACUCUAUCUUACAUAUUGUAGACAAAAUAAUCUCAUCUGGUUUGGCCAUGGUAGUGUCAGAUAAAAAUAUCAGUCGAUAGCUCUUACUCUAUCUUGGAUGAAAGCAGACUGCAAUGGAGUCUCAGCAAAUGCUGUAGAUUGGGUAUAGACUACUUUCUGCUUGAAUACUUUUUGUCAUAGAUUUCUUAAUAUAGAAAUCUGUUCAUAAGGACAGUCUUCCUUGGGGUCACUGCAGAUCUGAUUACAUUAGGUUGUCCCUGUUUUCUUGUAGCAUUCUUCUAGUACCAUAAAGUCAUUUUAUUUCUUCUCUCCAUUAACAAGUACAUAGGCAGGAUUUCAUCCUUUGUGCUUGAAGAGUCAGAAAAUUGUGCUCCAAGUUGUUACACAGUAUGGUAUGUGUGAUGAACUAUAGACAUAAGACUUGCACAAGUUAAAGAUAGUUGUGGUGAUAUACUUACAAAAGGAAUUGUAAUGGAAACUAAGUAUGGUGGAAUAUUUAAAUAAUUCUCCAAAAUUACAGAAGUGUUAUCAUAAGCAGAACAAAGAAAAACAGAAUCAAAAUAAUAUUUCAAUUUUUGGGCUGGCAAGACUUCCAGAGGUGGGACUGUGUUGCAUUCGAUUGAAUUGUUGGCCUUGGCAGAUGAUAACCAUGCUGGAAGAGUCCCAUAGAUAUUCCUAAAUAACCAGGCUGAUGCUAAGACAGAGGGUAUCUCCAUGAAAACAGACAACAGGACACAGAUGCUGAGGACAUCAUCCACACAGCUUAUUGAAUACAGAGAGUUUGAGCUGGUAACUGCAUGAAGACUUCACCCCUAAGACCUAAUCUUUUUGUCAUGAGAAGGUACUCUGCAAGCUGCAGAAAGAGAAACCUGUACUCAAACCCAGCCACAAAACCCUUGACCUGUACAAUCUGUCCUGCCUUUAAGGUGGAAUAGAACUUAUGUGUGUGUGGCCAACUAAGACUUGGUUUAACUCAAGCCCAAGUCCACGAGAGGAAACCUGUGACCUAUUCUACAUGUAUGACCAUGAUACAGAGACUAGAUAGCCCAGAGACAUAUGGUAGAACCAAACAGGAUGGGAAAAAAGCCAGUGAAAUGAUUCUUAAUGGUAUUCUGCUAUACUCAUAGAUCUUUGGCUUGUCCAUUCAGCAUCAGAGAGGCUUCCUAGGGCAGCACAUGGGAGUGGGUACAGAGACCCACAUCCAUACAUUAUGCAGAGAGAGAGAGGUUUGUGUAGUGUUGUGUGUUCUCUUAAUCUCUCUCUCUCUCUCUCUCUCUCUCUCUCUCUCUCUCAUCUCAUUCAUGUGAGUUGUUGAAUCUCUAGUCCCAUGCACCUUGAUGCUCACAUCUCUCCUCUAAGGGCACCUGGCAGGAUGAUGAUGCACAGACCUACAGGCAAGAAAAAUGUUUAUCCUGAUAAAAAAAUGAAAGAAUCAGAAGGUCAAGAUCAUCCACACUUCACAUUUCCUUAACCUUGUGCCAGAGACUGUAGCAAAGAAAAAAUAAAGCGCAAGGUCACAGCUUGACUGGAUUACUUAUAUUUGCACAUCUCUUGCCUUCCAGUUAAACCUUCCUUCCUCUUGGAGCUGAGGAAUCUAACCUUACUAAUUUGAAUGUUUGUGAGGAAACUUUUUUAGUUUUCAGAGGAACACAAAUACUUGGUUUACUUCACAUUUCAACAUAGUUUUUGUUUAUUUUAUUGAGACAGGGUUUGUCUUUUUCUGUAGACUUUGUUGAAUCAGAAUUCACUGUUCAGAUCAGGCUAGCCUGAUUUCACAGAGAUUUCUCUUCCUCUUUGAUCCAUGUGAAAAUUUUAAAUUAAAGGUAAACUCCAUUACAACACAGCUUUUAAGUUUUACUUUUAUAUGACAUCCAUAAAGCCUUAUCCAUACUCUGACACUCUUAUACUAUUACCUGCAGACAUAUUGUCUCACUGCAUGGCCCAAGACUUCUUUCUGACUAUGGCCAUGAAAGUAGCAAACUUCUCCAAAACAUUUUAAGUCUACUGUUAGUGGGACAUAUUUUUUAUAUAUUUUUUGAAGUUUCAUAGGAAGCCUCAAAACAAUACUCAACUAGAAAUAGCAAAGAAUGAAGUAGCCCAAAAUAACAAUAGUUUGAGGUUAAAACUGAUUGCUAAAUAUAGCUUUAAACAUAAUUGAAAGUAUCAAAAUUAUGUUUCACUGAUAACUUGUAUGGUGGGUUCCAUAUUGGGAAUGGUAAAGAAGGAGAAGAGUCCUUUAUAGUUUGUUUUUAAGAUGGAAGGGAAUAAAAUUCAGAGACUAAGAAGAUGACAUGAUAUAUGUUUAAAAACAGUCUCCUGCUCCCUUAAAGAACACAAAUACUAAGAUACAAGAAGGAUUCUUUCUAGGAAGCAGUGGCUGCUUCAGACAGGACAGCUGGCAUGGACUAGAGUGUAUGAAUCGGUAUCUGAAUGUAUACUAGGGGAUGACUAAUGGGGUAGUGGUGAACUUGUGGUAUGUACUGAAAAUAGAUAAAUGGUGUAGUUUGUAAGUUUUCUUUGUAAGACCUUUUAUGAUGCCUUGUUAAUAUAUAACUGCCCUUAUCUGAGUAGCUACAUGGUCUUUCUCUGGUAGCUCUCUCUCUGCCUUACUCUUCCCAGAAUUUUCCUAAUCUGGUAGCCCUACUUAUACUUCCUGACUGGCCACUGGCCAAUAAGUAUUUAUUUUUCAACCAAUAACAGAAACAUAUACUCACAGCUUACAGAAGGACCUUCUUCAUUAUAUCUCCCAGUGCCAGUGGGGCUAGAAUACAGGCUGAGGCACAUGUCUAGUCAUGGUCAUUGGAGACAGAGACAUGGCUUAUGGACUCCAGCUUAAGUAUAGCUGCUCUGAUCUUUCAGGGCUUCCCUGGGUUCCAUGCAUUUCCUUUUUCUCAGGUUCCUUCUUGGGAAUCCACAUGAUUUCUCUUAGCCCUAUGCCAUUCAGCUGUGUAAAUGUACAUGUGUUUAUAUACCUACAGGGACUUCUGGGAAGGCAUCAUUCCAUUCUCACCCUCCUUCCUCACAGAGUGGGAGCAUCAAGGUAUAAAAACUAACCCUUCUUUAAAGAUGAUGAUAUAGAAGAGGAAUGAACUGCAUGUACUCCUUAUCCAUUAUCCCCAAAAUGAUUUGAGCAACAGGUAUUCAUCAUGCACCAUUCUCUGGUGAAUCACUUGCCACUCCUGUGUCAAGUCAAGCAUUGACCUGUGUCAAGUUAGGUCAUUGGAAGCUCCACCUUCAGGGUGUCCUCCUGCCCAAACAAAUUUUCCUGAGUACAUCUGAGGCAGAACUGAAACCUAGACAGGAGUGAGAUGGGUACACAGGGUGUUCUGAUUCCUCCAAAAGUAAAGCAGACCCUGUGGCCUGAGUCACAUUCUACAGACAGGGGCAGUAGUGUGUGAGCUCACAACAUGCAUUCAGGAAGCCUUGACAGGUGUUGGCUUAUGGGAGAUGCUGGGUGCUUCUGGUUUAUGGUAAGUCUUUGUAUUUCACUAGGUGAGUUUUUGCUGGUUGUUCUGGGAGCAGAUUAAAGGGCUUGUCCUACUUGGUCCAUCUGGAUAUGUGACUGGAAGGUCUGGAGCUCAUCCUAGGUCUUCUCUGAUCUUGUUCUUUGUAGUCUGAGACAAGGCCACCAACCUGCAUUCCUUUGACAUCCUAAUUAUGUUUGAGUUUAUGUGUGUGAAGGGCUCUCUAACAGACCCCAAGUUUGAAAAAAUGGCAGCAGAAGAUUUUGCUCUUUUCACUUCCCUCUUCACUGAUAUACCAAUAGAUUGCAUUCCUAAAUUUAGUUUCCAAGGUCCAUUCUCUUAUUUUGUCACUGACCAAUUCCUGUGUCUAAAAACCUCUCUCCAGCAAUCAAAAUUCUGUAUUUGACUACACUGGCAAACCUGUCCAAUCAGGUUUAACCAAACCUAGCACAGACUUCCCCUCUUUUUUUUUUAAAUGCACUGCUGAAAAAGAAAACCUGCUUGAUGUCUGCUCCUGUGUGGUGCAGGUGAAGCUUCCUGCCUGCCCCCCAUCCCAUUCUUUUCCUCCUGAGGUAAUAAAUCUGCUUUUUGCUGUAGAGUCUGUGUUCUGUACUGUCUCUGUGGGGCUCCAUUAUAGGGUGUGUGUGUGUGUGUGUGUGUGUGUGUGUGUGUGUCUCCAGAUCCUGUGAGGCACAGAUUGCUAGCAAGGCUGAGGAUUUGUGGGUCUCAGAGUUGCCAAGUGAGAAGGUUCCAGUACAUAAGAUCAGGAUAUGACACCCAGUGGGCUAGGUCAGUCACAGACAAAGGCUUACUUCAUGUGAUUUCAGAGGACUGUGUUCAUGGGGUUCUUUUCUCCUGGGGCCAUGUCUUACCACAGGCUUGAGAUGCUGAAAAUGGAGCAACAGGCACAGAUGUCAGAUGUGAAGAAAUUCCCCAAGGAAAGUAGUGAGGCCUUGUACAAGAGAAAGUACCUGACUGAGAAGUCCAGCUUCUACCAAGAAACUGGCCAACUGCUGGCCCCACUGCAUUUCUUCCAAGAAGACUAGAUACUGAAGAAACUCUACCCACAUAAGUGGAAAUGCUAGCCACUGAGCAAUCCUGCCUUUCACCUUAACUGCUGCAAAGGACUCUUCAGACCAUGGACGGGAUGGCAGUGGAAUCAACUUUCUCCAUGUUGCUUGGGCCAAUGGGUUUCUCUGUAUUGUUUUGGAGGCUUUCCUGGAACUCGCCCUAUAGACCAGGAUGGCCUGGAACUCACAGAGAUCCUCCUGCCUCUGCCUCCCGCAUGCUGGGAUUAAAGGCGUGUGCCACCAACGCCCGGCUUAAAAAAUGUUUUAGGAUAUAGAAAACUAACUUAAGGUGUACAAAUGCAAGUUAUCAGAUUUAUUUCUUGUUAUGCUACUUUUCAUAGUCUUAACAUUAAUCAAUAAAGUUCUGAUAAACUAUUAAUCCAAGUCUGACAGGUCACUAAACAACAUACCACUAUGAUAACUACAAGGUUAAGAUUAAGGUGCUUUUCAUUGUCUUAAAGAUAUUAGUCAGUUUUAAAAGUGUCAAUGCUUUCAGCCAAAUUGUUUCUGACAUGAGUAUACUGCUAAUGAGUCUAAAACUUAUGUUUUCACAAACUCAAAGGAUUUUUGUAAGUUCCAGGGAGACAAAUUGGAUCCACCCAAACAGCAGAUUCACUCCAAAUUUCAUUCUAUCUUUUCCUGGACCUGGGACUCACUUCCCUCAUCUUGGGACCCUCUCAGGAAGCCCUACCUAAUCUUACAAUCUUUUCCUCAUAUGCCUUUAAAAAAAAACCCUGACUGCAGCUACUAGGGGUCAAACUCCUCUGCCCCUGCGAGGGUCAUGAGCUCAGCCCCAGUGCACUGGUUCCCCGAAUAAACCUCAUGUGCUUGCAGCA